ACUGGGACUAAGGACUGGAGCCAGGGCUGGGGCCGGGGCUGGGACUAGGACGAGGGCUGGGAGUAGGGCCGGUACUGGGACUGGAGCUGCUGCUGCCCAGGCCUCCCCCAGGGCUGAGCCAAGGCGAGAAGGGGUCGGGAGGACUCUGAUGGGAAAGGAGCCGAUUGGAAACAGUGGGAUAAACCGGAGGAAUUGACAUCAGUCAGAAAGACGGGAAUUUUGUAAUGGGAAAUGAGACUGUCCGUGUGAAAGGAAGGAAUCAGAUGGUAAAUACAGUGUGGGAGCAGCAGCAUGGAAGAAAUUGGUUUGUAACACAUCAUAAAAUGAUCAGGAGUCCAAAAUAUGAUGUUCUGGGGAAAAAAGGUAUCUCUAAAGAUCAGAGCUCUGGCAAUGAAAAGGAAAAAAAUCCACAACCCCUCUUCCAAAGCUCCUGUAUGAUCAAAAGGGUGUGGAGAAUGCUGAAUGAACUAUUACCAUUACUGCCUUAUGUGCAGAGGAUGCUUCAUGCUGCCAACACGUCCUUACCUGGCUGUGCUGGGCAGACCCUGAGAGCAGGUGAGC